UACGUAGGGAGCAAGCGUUGUCCGGAAUCAUUGGGCGUAAAGCGCGCGUAGGCGGCCCUGUAAGUCCGUUGUGAAAGUCAAAGGCUCAACCUUUGAAAGCCGAUGGAUACUGCAGGGCUAGAGUCCGGAAGAGGCGAGUGGAAUUCCUGGUGUAGGCGGUGGAAUGCGCAGAUAUCAGGAGGAACACCAAUAGCGAAGGCAGCUCGCUGGGACGGUACUGACGCUGAGGCGCGAAAGCGUGGGGAGCG
rnacentral:rRNA from 1 species